rnacentral:tRNA from 1 species
AUGGCUCAGUGGUUAGAGCAUUUGGCUCACAACCAUGAGGUAGUGAGUUCGAUUCCCAGACU